CCGUAACUAUAACGGUCCUAAGGUAGCGAAAUUCCUUGUCGGGUAAGUUCCGACCUGCACGAAUGGCAUAAUGAUGGCCAGGCUGUCUCCACCCGAGACUCAGUGAAAUUGAAAUCGCCGUGAAGAUGCGGUGUACCCGCGGCUAGACGGAAAGACCCCGUGAACCUUUACUAUAGCUUGACACUGAACAUUGAAUUUUGAUGUGUAGGAUAGGUGGGAGACUUAGAAGUAGUCACGCCAGUGAUUAUGGAGUCGUCCUUGAAAUACCACCCUUUAACGUUUGAUGUUCUAACGAAGAUUGCGGAACGCGGUCUCGGACAGUGUCUGGUGGGUAGUUUGACUGGGGCGGUCUCCUCCCAAAGAGUAACGGAGGAGCACGAAGGUUUGCUAAUCACGGUCGGACAUCGUGAGGUUAGUGCAAUGGUAUAAGCAAGCUUAACUGCGAGACAGACAAGUCGAGCAGGUACGAAAGUAGGUCAUAGUGAUCCGGUGGUUCUGAAUGGAAGGGCCAUCGCUCAACGGAUAAAAGGUACUCCGGGGAUAACAGGCUGAUACCGCCCAAGAGUUCAUAUCGACGGCGGUGUUUGGCACCUCGAUGUCGGCUCAUCACAUCCUGGGGCUGAAGUAGGUCCCAAGGGUAUGGCUGUUCGCCAUUUAAAGUGGUACGCGAGCUGGGUUUAGAACGUCGUGAGACAGUUCGGUCCCUAUCUGCCGUGGGCGUUGGAGAAUUGAAAGGGGCUGCUCCUAGUACGAGAGGACCGGAGUGGACGCACCACUGGUGUUCCGGUUGUGUCGCCAGACGCAUUGCCGGGUAGCUAAGUGCGGAAGAGAUAAGUGCUGAAAGCAUCUAAGCACGAAACUUGCCAAGAGAUGAGUUCUCCCA
rnacentral:rRNA from 1 species